rnacentral:pre_miRNA from 1 species
UGGAGUGUGACAAUGGUGUUUGUGUCCUUUCUUUCAAACGCCAUUAUCACACUAAAUA